rnacentral:rRNA from 1 species
GACGAACGCUGGCGGCGUGCUUAACACAUGCAAGUCGUACGGUAAGGCCCUUUCGGGGGUACACGAGUGGCGAACGGGUGAGUAACACGUGAGUAACCUGCCCACAACUUUGGGAUAACGCUAGGAAACUGGUGCUAAUACUGGAUAUGUGCUCCUGCUGCAUGGUGGGGGUUGGAAAGCUCCGGCGGUUGUGGAUGGACUCGCGGCCUAUCAGCUUGUUGGUGGGGUAGUGGCCUACCAAGGCGGCGACGGGUAGCCGGCCUGAGAGGGUGACCGGCCACAUUGGGACUGAGAUACAGCCCAGACUCCUACGGGAGGCAGCAGUGGGGAAUAUUGCACAAUGGGCGCAAGCCUGAUGCAGCAACGCCGCGUGCGGGAUGACGGCCUUCGGGUUGUAAACCGCUUUCAGCAGGGACGAAGCUUUUUGUGACGGUACCUGCAGAAGAAGCACCGGCUAACUACGU